GAUCCUGGCUCAGGACGAACGCUGGCGGCGUGCUUAACACAUGCAAGUCGAACGCUGAAGCCUAGCUUGCUGGGUGGAUGAGUGGCGAACGGGUGAGUAACACGUGAGUAACCUGCCCUCUUCUUUGGGAUAACGCCCGGAAACGGGUGCUAAUACUGGAUAUUCACUGGCUUUCGCAUGGGGGUUGGUGGAAAGGUUUUUUCUGGUGGGGGAUGGGCUCGCGGCCUAUCAGCUUGUUGGUGGGUGAUGG
rnacentral:rRNA from 1 species